rnacentral:rRNA from 1 species
UACGUAGGGGGCUAGCGUUGUCCGGAAUCAUUGGGCGUAAAGCGCGUGUAGGCGGUUCGGUAAGUUCGCUGUGAAAGUCGGGGGCUCAACCCUCGGAUGCCGGUGGAUACUGUCGGACUAGAGUACGGAAGAGGCGAGUGGAAUUCCUGGUGUAGCGGUGAAAUGCGCAGAUAUCAGGAGGAACACCGAUUGCGAAGGCAGCUCGCUGGGACGUUACUGACGCUGAGACGCGAAAGCGUGGGGAGCAAACAGG